rnacentral:lncRNA from 1 species
GGAAAGUGAGUUGGGGUAAUUAUUUCUUUUCCCUCUUCACUGCUGAACUACAAUUUUGGCUUCAGCUCUGCUUGGCCCCUUCUCUACCCGGCAGCUCUCAUUGGACUCAGGAACGUAGAGUCCUCCAGACUCUACGUACAUGUAGCUGAUGUAAAUUCACCUGAGGAGUUCCUGGGGGAGACUGCAAGGAGAUGUCAGAGGGACCCAGGUACCUAGGCCUUUGUGCUGUGAAUCAGCGGACGCGCAAGUGGCAGUGCCUGUUAGAAGCAACGCAACCUCGUGGCUCCUGCAAGUGUGGAGACACCUCCCACACAAGGCGGGGCAAGCAGGACAAGCGCAGUUUGCUGUGGUCUUGUGACAGAGAGCACAAAAGGGAUCAUGUAAGAGAAAUCCGUUUCUGCUGGUGUCCUUCCGAUAAAAGAAUGCCCUCAACCAAGCACCUCCCUCCUGCUCACGUUAUGGUGGAGAGGGAAGCGUCCCUGGCAGUCAUCACAAGGAUGUUUAUCCUGAAGUGUGCGGGUGCCAAGGCUCUUGUGCUGCAGAGUUCCAACUGUUCACGCUCAAUUUUGAUCUUGGCUUAAAGAAGGACCACCCCCCGUCUGCUACUUGCGGAAAAAAGUGAACCGCUCAUCAUUGCUGCACGUCACCAGCCAGCAGGUGUUACUACUGUCUUUA